rnacentral:lncRNA from 1 species
UGAAAGACUAGAGAAUUUAGAGAGAUAAAGUAUCAUAAGAUUAUGAAGGAGGAAGGGAAAAACUCCCUCUCUCACUUAGUUUACAAAAUCUGCUACAAUGAGCUUUUAUAUGCAUUACAACUUGUAAGAAUAAACCUAAGAUCUAUGGCUGUGCCUUUCUAAUUUGAAUGGACGACCUGGAUUAGUCUUGAUGGUCAGAUGUGGUAUGUACACGAGCUGGAUAGGAAAGGAGAGAUGAAAGGCCAAGAUCUCUUUGUUUGAAAUGGAUGGCUGUAAAGGCUCACAUGCUUGUACAGCUUCCAUAAUCAUGUGGAGUCAAAGAUGCUUUCUUGGCAGCUUAUGACAGCCUGUCUAGGACCACAUACAGCUCCUCCCUUAUCCUCCAACGUCCAUAAGCUCAGACUUAGCUUCUCUUGCGCCCUAAGAUUUCCCA